rnacentral:lncRNA from 1 species
GCCGGGCAUGCCUGGGAGACAGAGCGAGACUCCAUCUCAAAAAAAAAAAAAAAAAAAAAAGAAAAAAAAACUUUCCUAAGUAGCGGGACAUAGCUGAACCUGGCCUGGAUGUAUAGGGUCAGGUUGAACUACUGCCUGAACUACUGGAACAUCAGGAACUGGCUGUGUCUCAGCGGCAGGCAGUUGUGGAGCCUGAUUAUUUUCCUGAGCAGCCUGAUUGUCAGGCUGUUGAUCUUGACGGGUUGCGGGAUCAGCUGCCUGCUGAGAAGGAUCAGCAGGCUGUGGCUGAUUUUGUGCCACUGGGACGGCGGGUAUUGGAGGUUGUAAAAUUACAGGAAAUUGCCAGGCUUCGGGAUCCCCAUAUUCUCUUGUCUGAGCUAUAGCCCUCAUAAAAGGAGUGUCAUUUUCAGGGAUGUAUAUAGCUCAUUGCUUAUGAGCGGCAAUGGUGGUAUUGGCCACCACAGUAGCAACUGGACCAGAAGCAGGAAAAAGUUUGGAAUUUUGAAUGGAGGAAGAGUUGAGAACCUGUAGGCCAGGAUGAGACGAGAUUACCUGCUGGGCAGGUCUUUCAUGGGCCUGAGGCUGCCGCAGUAACUGUGGACCAGGCUUCAAGGGAGCCUGAGGUUUCAAGGGAGCCUGAUUUGUCAGAAAAGACCCAGGCUUCAAGGAAGUGUGAUUUGCCGAAAGAGACCCAGGCUUCGAGGGAGACUGAUUUGCCAAAAGAUACCCAGGCUUCAAAGGAGCCUGAUUUCUGAAAGAGACCCAGGCUUCAAGGGAGCCUGAUUUACCAAGAGAGGUCCAGGCUUCAAGGGAGACUGACUUGUCAAAAGAGAACGAGAAGAGAGAGGUGGAAAAAUAGGUUGAAUAUGGAUAGGGUUGAGGGCCUCAUAACUGGGCUGAACUGGUAGAAAGUUGAGAGCCCCACAGCGGGGCUGAACAGAGAUAGGGUUGAGGGCCUCAUUACCAGGCUGAAUAGGCAAGAAGUUGAGAGCCCCACAGCAGGGCUGAACAGAGACAGAGUUGAGGGCCUCAUUGCUGGGCUGAACAGGCGGAAGGUUGAGAGCCCUACAGCAGGGCUGAGGAAAGACAGGAGGGUCUGGCCAUGAUAGCUGUUGAUGAUAUAUUUCGGUUGGAGUUUGCUGGUUUGGGGAAAGAUCAUUUUUAAAGGUCAUCAAAAAGUGAUAAUGGAGGCAUGGUAGGCUCUGG